rnacentral:ncRNA from 1 species
GACUACAAGCUAUGAAUGGGCGUGGGCUUCCCCUACAAUACCAAUGUCUGAGCAAAUCCCCCUUGGUCACGAGUUCUUUCUUCCUCUGUCUCUAUAUCAGGGUUUUGGCGCUCUACGCAGUCCUCCAACUACAAGCUACUAUGAAUGGGCACAGGCGCGGGUAGGGGGGGUUUAUUGUUUUGUGGAAUUUGAAUUUUUAUGUUUUUUUUUAUUUUUUUAGUAUGUUAUAAUAUAUAUAUAUAUACAACCUUUUAACAAUCAACUCGGAGAUGGUUCGGACGAGGGGAAUCUGACUAUUUAAUUAAAACAAAGAAUUGUGAUGGUCCCUCUCGAUCUUGAUGCAAUGUGAUUUCUGCCCAGUGCUUUGAAUGUUAAAGUGAAUAAAUUCAACCAAGCACGGGUAAACGGCGAGAGUAACUAUGACUCUCUUAAGAUAGCCAAACUCCUCGCCAUCUAAUUAGUGAUGCACAUGAAUGGAUUAACUAGAUUCCCACUAUCCCUAUCUACUAUCUAGCGAAACCACAACCAAGGGAAUGGGCUUGGCAUAAUCAACAGGGAAACAAGACCUUGUUGAGACUGACUCUAGUCCAACUUUGUGAAAUGAAUUGAGAGUUGUAGAAUGCGUGGGAAUUGUUUUCGGCACAAAUGAAAUACCACUACUUUUAACAUUAUUUUACUUAUAAUUUUGUGGGGCGGAGACGGGGCAAUUACCCUAUUUUUGGCCUUAAGUCGUGUUUCGAUGGGUCGAUAUGGGCGGAAGACAUUGCCAAGUGGGGAUCGAAGUGUAUCUGGCCACAGCAAGAGCUAUAAUGGUUAUGAUCGAAGUGUAUCUAGCCACAGGAGCGAAUGUCUCUUCAUAGUCAAUACCUUCCUUCUGGGAAAGACACGAACGACAAAUCUUGCUUUAUAUUUCUCAAUACUUCCAUCAGCAGCAUGUUUUAUCUUGAAGAGCCAUUUUGAUGAUACCACAUCCUUACUUUUUGGUCUGGGAA